rnacentral:rRNA from 1 species
UACGGAGGGUGCAAGCGUUGUUCGGAAUUACUGGGCGUAAAGCGCGUGUAGGCGGUUUAAUAAGUCAGAUGUGAAAUCCCUCAGCUUAACUGAGGAACUGCAUCUGAUACUGUUAAACUUGAGUAUCGGAGGGGAUGGCGGAAUUCCUGGUGUAGAGGUGAAAUUCGUAGAUAUCAGGAGGAACACCUGUGGCGAAGGCGGCCAUCUGGAAGAUUACUGACGCUGAGACGCGAAAGCGUGGGGAGCAAACAGG